AUUGAACGCUGGCGGCAUGCCUUACACAUGCAAGUCGAACGGUAACAGGUUAAGCUGACGAGUGGCGAACGGGUGAGUAAUGUAUCGGAACGUGCCCAGUCGUGGGGGAUAACGUAGCGAAAGCUACGCUAAUACCGCAUACGAUCUACGGAUGAAAGCGGGGGAUCGCAAGAGCUCGCGCGAUUGGAGCGGCCGAUAUCAGGUUAGGUUGUUGGUGAGGUAAAAUCCCACCAAGCCUGCGAUCGGUAGCUGGUCUGAGAGGACGAGUAGCCACACUGGAACUGAGACACGGUCCAGACUCCUACGUGAGGCAGCAGUGGGAAAUUUUGGACAGUGGACGCAAGUCUGAUCCAGCAAUGCCGCGUGCAGGACGAAGGCCUUCGGGUUGUAAACUGCUUAUGUACGGAACGAAACGGUGAGCUCUAAUACAGUUUGCUAAUGACGGUACCGUAAGAAGAAGCACCGGCUAACUACGUGCCAGCCGCCGCCGUAA
rnacentral:rRNA from 1 species